UGGGAAGCAUUGUCAUAGCGCCAUCUGGCGCCCGGCGGUGCUGCGGGCACAGAACCCCGCUGGCUGGAUGCAGCCUGCGGGACCCGAUCCAGUCCGAGCGAGGCUGCGGGAGGAGGGAGCGGGGCUCUGGGUCUGACCCUGGAGCAUCUCCAGACCCAGCAUUGUGCAGGGGAGACCUCUUGUCUGGGGGCUCCAGAGCUUAUGCAGUCCCACGCUUCUGAGCCAUGUUUGUUCCUGGACAAAAGGAACUGGUAGCAGGAACCAGCUAGAAACUGAACCAGCAACAGCAGAGGAAAGCAGCUGCAGCAGUGGCCUGGAGUCUGAUGAUGUCAGCAGCCUGUCACUGGUUUUUACUGUUUACACUGGAGUUCUCACCUCUCUGAUCAGUGACUAUUGGCUCCUGCUCCAUUACGCCACCUUCCUUCUGGGCUCCCAUUUUUCUUUCCCCUCCUUUUAAAGUCCAUGGUUAGAUUUUUUUUUUUAAGCUAAUCUGCUCUCAACACAACCCCAUCCAACUAUUUAAAAAAAAUAAAGUAGCUAACAUACCUACUGCUGACCAUCACGUUGUUUAUUCAGAUUAGAUGUUCUCCUUUGUCUGUCUUGCUUAUUUAGAUUGUAAAUUUUUUGGAGCGGGGACAGACUCCUAUUCUGUGUAUACAGUGCCUAGCACAGUGGCAUCCUAAUCUUAGUGUGGUCCCUAGGUGUUGCCAUAAAUAAUUGAGUAGGGUGUAUUUAAAACUCUGUAAACUGCCCCUGCAACCUCUCCUCAGACUGCACUUUCACACGUUAUCACUUUUACUGAAGAAGCAAAGGAACACCCAGCUUGUGCAGAAGAAAGUUUUGGUGAAAAAGACUCUACAGCAUAACUGGCGCUUCUGUGCUAUAUGAAAUAUCAGGAAAGAUGUGAGAUGGACCAUCGUAACAGAAGUUUUCAAAG